UACAGAGGGUGCGAGCGUUGUUCGGAAUUAUUGGGCGUAAAGCGCUGGUAGGUGGUUUGUUAAGUCGCGUGUGAAAUCUCCAGGCUCAACCUGGAAAGUGCGCGCGAAACUGGCGAACUUGAGUGCCGGAGAGGGUCGCGGAAUUCCCGGUGUAGAGGUGAAAUGCGUAGAGAUCGGGAGGAACAUCUGUGGCGAAGGCGACUGCCUGGACCAGCACUGACACUGAGGCACGAGAGCGUGGGGAGCAAACAGG
rnacentral:rRNA from 1 species